rnacentral:lncRNA from 1 species
CGGACUCGGAAUGCCGCGAGACUUUGCGAGGGGCCUCCGUGUGCCAAAAAUAGGCCGCGGGCAAAGCCGCGCCCAAAAAUAACCGCCCGAAGGCCGGGGCGCCAAGUUCGUCCAGCGCAAAAAGGCCACAAAAACGGGUAGGCUAUAGCCUUGGGGGGUGGGGCUGGCCCACUUUGUCCGCCGGACUCGGAAUGCCGCGAAACUUUGCGAGGGGCCUCCGUGUGCCAAAAUUAGGCCGCGGGCAAAGCCACGCCCAAAAAUAACCGCCCGAAGGCCGGGGCGCCAAGUUCGUCCAGCGCAAAAAGGCCACAAAAACGGGUGGGCUAUAGCCUUGGGGGGUGGGGCUGGCAAACUUCGUCCGCCGGACUCGGAAUGUACCACCCAAUACCGCACUCCUCCGUGGUGCCAAAAAUAGGCCACGGGCAAAGCCGCGCCCAAAAAUAACCGACCAAAGGCCGGGGCGCCAAGUUUGUCCAGCGGAAAAAGGCCACAAAAACGGGUGGGCUACAGCCUUGGAGGGUGCGGCUGGCCAACUUCGUCCGCAGGACUCGGAAUGCCGCGAGACUUUGCGAGGGGCCUCCGUGUGCCAAAAAUAGGCCGCGGGCACAGCCACGCCCAAAAAUAACCGCCCGAAGGCCGGGGCGCCAAGUUCGUCCAGCGGAAAAAGGCCACAAAAACGGGUGGGCUAUUGCCUUGGGGGGUGGGGCUGGCCAACGUCGUCCGCCGGACUCGGAAUGGCGCGAGACUUUCCGAGGGGCCUCCGUGUGCCAAGAAUAGGACGCGGAUACAGCCUCGCCCAAAAAUAACCGCCCGAAGGAUGGGGCGCCAAGUUCGUCCAGUAGAAAAAGGGCACAAAAACGGGUGGGCUAUAGCCUUGCGGGGUGGGGCUGGCCAACUUCGCCCGCCGGACUCCGAAUGGUGCGAGACUUUGUGAACGGCCUCCGUGUGCCAAAAAUAGGCCGGGGGCACAGCCGUAUGCAAAAAUAACCGCCCGAAGGCCGGGGCACCAGGUUCGUCCAGCGGAAAAAGGCCACAAAAACGGGUGGGCUAUAGCCUUGGGGGGUGGGGCUGGCCAACUUCGUCCGCCGGACUCGGAAUGCCACGAGACUUUGCGAGGGUCCUCAGUGUGCCAAAAAUAGCCCGUGGGCAAAGCCGCGCCCAAAAAUAACCGCCCGAAGGCCUGGGCGCCAGGUUCGUCCAGCGGAAAAAGGCCACAAAAACGGGUGGGCUAUAGCCUUUGGGGGUGGGGCUGGCCCACUUCGUCCGCCGGAAUGCCGCGAGACUUUACGAGGGGCCUCCGUGUGCCAAAAAUAGGCCGCGGGCAAGCCGCGCCAUAAAAUAACCGCCAGAAGGCCGGGGCGCCAAGUUCGUCCAGCGGAAAAAGGCCACAAAAACGGGUGGGCUAUUGCCUUGGCGGUUGGGGCUGGCCCACUUCGUCCGCCGGACUCAGAAUGGCGCGAGA